AGCACUUCUCAAAACAUUUGAGCUAUAUGAAGAUUUUCUUUACCAAGAACUGUACUGUGAACAAUAUCAACCUCUAUACAUAUUUGGUCUGAUAUGAGGAUCAUUACGUAAGGCGAAUGAAGGAGGAAUACCUGCCUCAUUCGUAGGAAUGUUUCUCGGGAAUACUUCAGUUGAGGGUAGUCUUGGCACCACCUCGGGGCUCAAGGUUGAGAAGGAAAAUGAGGGAGGUGGGUUUGUCUCAUUUGUAGGAAAAAUUCUUGAAACUUUUUCGGUUGAGGGUAGUCUUGGCACCACCUCGGGGCUCAAGGUUGAGAAGGAAAAUGAGGGAGGUGGGUUUGUCUCAUUUGUAGGAAAAAUUCUUGAAACUUUUUCG
rnacentral:misc_RNA from 1 species